AAUGAACGCUGGCGGCAUGCCUUACACAUGCAAGUCGAACGGCAGCAUGACCUAGCUUGCUAGGUUGAUGGCGAGUGGCGCACGGGUGAGUAAUGCAUCGGAACGUGCCUUUUAGUGGGGGAUAACGUAGCGAAAGUUACGCUAAUACCGCAUAUUCUCUGAGGAGGAAAGCAGGGGACCUUCGGGCCUUGCGCUAGAAGAGCGGCCGAUGUCGGAUUAGCUAGUUGGUGAGGUAAAGGCUCACCAAGGCAACGAUCCGUAGCGGGUCUGAGAGGAUGAUCCGCCACACUGGGACUGAGACAAGGCCCAGACUCCUACGGGAGGCAGCAGUGGGGAAUUUUGGACAAUGGGCGCAAGCCUGAUCCAGCCAUGCCGCGUGAGUGAAGAAGGCCUUCGGGUUGUAAAGCUCUUUCGGCUGGGAAGAAAUAGCACCCUCUAAUACAGGGUGUGGAUGACGGUACCAGCAUAAGAAGCACCGGCUAACUACGUG
rnacentral:rRNA from 1 species